UUUUCGGACAGAAGAGUGGACAGUUUAGUGGCGAACGGGUGAGUAACGCGUGAGUAACCUGCCUCAUACAGGGGGAUAACAGUUGGAAACGACUGCUAAUACCGCAUAAGCGCACAGGAUUGCAUGAUCGAGAUACCAAAACUGAGGUGCCGAAGGAUGGGCUCGCGUUGGAUUAGAUAGUUGGUGGGGUAACGGCCUACCAAGUCGACGAUCCAUAGCCGGACUGAGAGGUUGAUCGGCCACAUUGGGACUGAGACACGGCCCAGACUCC
rnacentral:rRNA from 1 species